GGAUGCGAUCAUACCAGCACUAACGCACCAGAUCCAAUUAGAACUCCAGUUAAGCGUGCUUGGGCGAGAGUAGUACUAGGAUGGGUGACCCCCUGGGAAGUCCUCGUGUUGCAUCCU
rfam:Nicotiana sylvestris Nsyl_contig198796, whole genome shotgun sequence.